AAGGGGCAAAAGAAGUUCUGGAAUGCAUCAUAUCCACUAUGGGAUAACAGAACUAUUAUAUGUGGCAACUGUAACAAAACAUUUUGUCAUGUUACAGAAUUACAUUUAUCAGGGCAGCAUUUAUACGGGAGAAUACCUCAAGAAGUCGGAAAUAUUUCUCGUUUAACAAUAUUGGAUUUAAGCGGAAAUCAUCUUCGAGGAGAAAUUCCUAUAUCAAUUAUCAACCUACAAUUCAUUACUCAAAUAGAUCUUUCUGAUAACUCCUUGAGUGGG
rnacentral:misc_RNA from 1 species